rnacentral:tRNA from 1 species
CGGAGUGUAGCGCAGCUUGGUAGCGCGCCACGUUCGGGACGUGGAGGUCCGGGGUUCAAAUCCCCGCACUCCGACCA